GGUGACCAGCUAUCCUGGUUUGCCUGGGACUGAGAGGUCUUCAGGUGUUAAAUCUAGGAAAGUUUCAAGAAAAUCAGG
rnacentral:miRNA from 1 species